GAUGAAGAACGUAGCGAAAUGCGAUAAGUAAUGUGAAUUGCAGAAUUCAGUGAAUCAUCGAAUCUUUGAACGCACAUUGCGCCCGCCAGUAUUCUGGCGGGCAUGCCUGUUCGAGCGUCAUUUCAACCAUCAAGCCCCCCGGCUUGUGUUGGGGACCUGCGGCUGCCGCAGGCCCUGAAAAGCAGUGGCGGGCUCGCUGUCACACCGAGCGUAGUAGAUCUCAUCUCGCUCAGGGCGUGCUGCGGGUUCCGGCCGUUAAACCACCUUCAUAACCCAAGGUUGACCUCGGAUCAGGUAGGAAGAACCGCUGAACUUAAGCAUAUCAAUAAGCGGAGGA
rnacentral:misc_RNA from 1 species